rnacentral:rRNA from 1 species
UAAGGAAUAUUGGUCAAUGGACGCAAGUCUGAACCAGCCAUGCCGCGUGGAGGAUGAAGGUCCUCUGGAUUGUAAACUUCUUUUAUAGGGGGCGAAAACGAGUCAUUCUUGAUUCUCUGACGGUACCCUAUGAAUAAGCACCGGCUAACUCCGUGCCAGCAGCCGCGGUAAUACGGAGGGUGCAAGCGUUAUCCGGAUUUACUGGGUUUAAAGGGAGCGUAGGCGGAUUGUUAAGUCCGUGGUGAAAGCCCUCAGCUCAACUGAGGAACUGCCAUGGAUACUAUCAAUCUUGAAUGUCGUUGAGGUUUGCGGAAUGGGUCAUGUAGCGGUGAAAUGCUUAGAUAUGACCCGGAACACCAAUUGCGAAGGCAGCAGGCUAAACGAAUAUUGACGCUGAGGCUCGAAAGCGUGGGGAUCAAACAGG